UUAAAUAAUAUGCGCAUGCGCAGAUGUUAAUUCCGCCUCGCGAAAACAUUCAAAACAAAAACACUCGAAACGAAAAUAAAAUAUUCACCACCACCUGGUUUGCCAACAUCGUCUUUACAAGGAAUGUCCAGCAGUGCAUGACAGAGGCCGGUCACUCCCAUUAAGUCCAGCUGAAGAGCCUUCCCAGUUCAUAGGACAAAAUGCAGUUACACAGAUUUUAACGGUGUUGGAAACAAUGAGAGACGAGAACAGGGAAAUGAAGUGGAUGCUGCAGCGGCUCUUGGCUAGGUCAGCUUCUGAUGACGAGCCAAUGCAACUGCCAGAGAACAUCAGUCUACCAAUUGGAACACUUGAGCAAAUGGAUGAGUUUGAAGAGCAUCUUGGUGAUGAAGCUACGAUCCAUCUUUUCUAGGACUGCUGCAUUGUUCAAGCU